CUGUUGACCUCGGAUCAGGUAGGAAUACCCGCUGAACUUAAGCAUAUCAAUA
rnacentral:rRNA from 1 species